rnacentral:rRNA from 1 species
GACGAACGCUGGCGGCGUGCCUAAUACAUGCAAGUAGAACGCUGAAGAGAGGAGCUUGCUCUUCUUGGAUGAGUUGCGAACGGGUGAGUAACGCGUAGGUAACCUGCCUUGUAGCGGGGGAUAACUAUUGGAAACGAUAGCUAAUACCGCAUAACAAUGGAUGACACAUGUCAUUUAUUUGAAAGGGGCAAUUGCUCCACUACAAGAUGGACCUGCGUUGUAUUAGCUAGUAGGUGAGGUAAUGGCUCACCUAGGCGACGAUACAUAGCCGACCUGAGAGGGUGAACGGCCACACUGGGACUGAGACACGGCCCAGACUCCUACGGGAGGCAGCAGUAGGGAAUCUUCCGCAAUGGGGGCAACACUGACCGAGCAACGCCGCGUGAGUGAAGAAGGUUUUCGGCUCGUAAAGCUCUGUUGUAAGUCAAGAACGGGUGUGAGAGUGGAAAGUUCACACUGUGACGGUAGCUUACCAGAAAGGGACGGCUAACUACGUG